AACUAAACCUACCCUUAUAAGAUAUCUUUAAACCCUAAUACUAAACAAAGAGCAGCCAACUCCCUCACAUCUCUCUCAGCCGACACCCCCCUUCUCCUCUCCUUUCUCUGCGUAAUCAGGCCACCGGAGCAACCCUGGCCGACGCCGGUUCCUUCAACGGCAGGCAGCACCAUCUCUCUCUCUCUCACAAGCAAACCCGACACCGCACCUCUCGUCUCUCUCGCUCGUCUCCUCCCUCUAUUAAUCGUCGACGGCGGUGGGUAUUGGUUUCGCGACAGAAGACGGCGGCGGCGGCGGAGGUCUCAACUGCUGGUGUUGAAGACGACAGUGAUGAUUUUCCGGCGCACGACGACGACGUCAGUGGUCGUCGAAACAAGGCGACGGUGGUUCAGGUUAGAGAUUGAUUCGGAUUAUGUUGGUUCAAGUUCUGAUUCAAGUUUCGUCUCAGUUCUGUUUUUGGUCGGGUCUGGCAUGCCUGAUUUCGGGUUCUGACUUGUUUCGAAUCCUAACUCGGCUCGGGUUUCACGAGCAGUCUGUUUAGUUUUGGCUCGAGUCAGGGUUCAGUUCAGUCUCGGCUCACGUUCAGUUUCGGCUCAGUCAAACCGGUUCAGACUUCAUGUUCAGUUUCGGUGCGGAUUCGGGUCUCGGUCAAACCGCGGUCAACGGUCAGAAUCGAGUUCGGGUCAGCACCGGUCGAGUCAGUCUUAUCUGGUUCGGGUCGACGGGUUAGACACGAGCCUCGGUAUAAUAACGUCGCGCAUAUAAAUUAUGUUGUUUCGUAUCUAUUUAUUUAUUUAUUUAUUUUUGUCGCGGAACCGCACCUGAUAUAAUUUGUAAACAUAAUAGAUAAGUAAAUAUAUCCAUAUUGUUCCGUUUAUUGCUUAUUGAAUUUUGAGAAUUUUAACGACAACUUGCGUUGUCGGGAUCGUACAAAAACAGAGGAAACUCUGUCCGAUUUUCUUUAAAAAUAUAUAUAUGUACUUUUUAGGCAAACCGCUAAUGAAAACGUAUCGAAGUCUAAAUGAUUUUUAUAACAAUAAGUAUAAACGUAUAUUUAUGUUGUCAACACUUUUAUAAUGCUAUUGAUAGGCUUAAUUUAGAAUUCUUACUUAAACAAUAUAAAUAUAUAUGUAUACAUAUGCAUAUAUACUAACUAGCUAUACUCUAAUUUCCAAUUCAAUCCUUCGUCGUAAUUCCGAUUUCUCAUAUGCCUGCGUUGGCCCAUAUAGGGUGACAUCGGUGUUCCAUCAUCCUAACCUCACACUCAUCGACACUUGGAUAAUCGGAAGACUUAACAAUUUUGUGGAUGUUGACGGCGCAUGGAAUCUAAUAGGAUGCUUAGAUACACA